rnacentral:tRNA from 1 species
GGUCUGUUGGUGAAGCGGUUAACACACGUGGUUUUCAUCCGUGCGUACGCACGGGUUCGAUCCCCGUACAGACCGCCA